rnacentral:rRNA from 1 species
UACGUAGGGGGCAAGCGUUGUCCGGAAUCAUUGGGCGUAAAGAGCGUGUAGGCGGCCAGAUAAGUCCGCUGUGAAAUCUCGAGGCUCAACUUCGAGCUGUCGGUGGAAACUGUCUGGCUAGAGUCCGGAAGAGGAGAAUGGAAUUCCUGGUGUAGCGGUGAAAUGCGCAGAUAUCAGGAAGAACACCCGCGGCGAAGGCGGCACUCUGGGCCGGAACUGACGCUGAGGAGCGAAAGCGUGGGUAGCAAACAGG